UACGUAGGGGGCUAGCGUUGUCCGGAAUCAUUGGGCGUAAAGAGCGUGUAGGCGGCCCGGUAAGUCCGCUGUAAAAGUCAAAGGCUCAACCUUUGAAUGUCAGUGGAUACUGUCGGGCUAGAGUGCGGGAGAGGCGAGUGGAAUUCCUGGUGUAGCGGUGAAAUGCGCAGAUAUCAGGAGGAACACCAAUUGCGAAGGCAGCUCGCUGGAACGUAACUGACGCUGAGACGCGAAAGCGUGGGGAGCAAACAGG
rnacentral:rRNA from 1 species